rnacentral:rRNA from 1 species
GACGAACGCUGGCGGCGUGCUUAACACAUGCAAGUCGAGCGGAGCGGCGAACGGGCGAAUAACGCGUGAGUAACUGCCCCCCUCCCUGGGAUAACAGUUGGAAACGGCUGCUAAUAACGGAUAGUGGGGGAUGAAUCGCGUCCGAUCAGCUUGUUGGUGGGGUAGUGACCUACCAAGGCGACGACGGGUAGCCGGCCUGAGAGGGCGAACGGCCACAUUGGGCUGGGAUACGGCCCAAACGCCGACGGGAGGCAGCAGUGGGGAAUAGUGCACAAUGGGGGAAACCCUGAUGCAGCGACGCCGCGGGGGGGAUGAAGGCUUUGGGGUUGUAAACCUCUUUCGCUAUCGAAAGGGUAGGUGGAGAAGAAGCGCCGGCUAACUACGUGCCAGCAGCCGCGGUAAUAC